ensembl:lncRNA
ACAUCCGGGCUAGGGGGGAGAGAUCGCGUGACGAGCAAUCCUUCGCGCAUGCGCAGCCUCCACUAGUUCUGUGGCUACGGCCGCACGCUUUGCAAAGUGUGAGGCUCGAGGUUUCCUAUGCUCCUGUUGGGACGCUUGGGACUGUCGUGAGCUCCAGGUCCUGGAGCGCCUGGGUUUAGGCUUGAGGAGGAGAGAGAAAGCGAAGACCUUCUGGAACUUCAAAUGAGAAGUCGAAAAUAAGGGAAGGAUGGAAUAUGUAUCUACCUCCAGGAUUAAAUGUGCUAACAGAUGCAAACUGCUCAGCAUUCUAUUUGUGAUCUAUAGAUGGCAGUUCCCUUGCCUUUCCUCUCAAUUCCAUUCCACAAUUUCUGCUGUUCCAGGAGCACCGAAGGAGACCAAUCCUCCCCACAGACUAAAGAUAAAUUUCAUUUGAAGUACUCUGGAUAGAUGAAAAAUCUGGAUUGUUUCAAGAGAUCGCAGGGUGAUUAUUUUACAAAAUUAUUAUUCAAAUAGCAAGCUCCCCAUGAUCAUACCACAUAUUAUUUGAUUUAUGGAAAUACAGCUUGUAUUCAGCUUGUUAGGAGCACAUAUAUUGCAUAAAAUAAGACCAAGUUUCACAAAGUCAGAGUCCAUGUCUGUGUUGUUCCUCACUGGCCACAUGGUAGGCUUUUGAAUAUUUGUGUGAUUGAUUUAAAUACUGGAAUUUGUUUUCUGCUAAAUCUCAAGUCAGGGGCAUCAGUUCUGCAGUUCUUUCUUUGUAGCUGUUAGCAUGAAUUUUGAUGGCAUGAAAAAGCUUGUUCUCUGAAUUAUAUUUAGCUCAUACAAACUCUACUGCACAAUUAUGUUGUAAAGAGGAAUUAGGUUUUAUCUUUAAGUUGUUAUUAUAGCCUUGUGAAAAGGUGAACAUUGAGAAUAACUAUAAAGUAGUAGUGUAUUGUAAUAUUACUUUUGCUACCCUUUUUUUUUAAACUGUGGUGCAUGGCCUGGAACAGACUGACACGUGGUAGGUGUAUCCGUCAGGGUCUGUAUAAAAAACAGAUGGCACACUCAAAUUAGAUAAUUAGAGGAGCGUUUAAUAAAGGGACUAUUUACGAAGGUUUGGGUAGGGUGUAGGGAAACCAGAGGGAUAGUGUGGUACCCAGGGGGCUAGUAAUAGCUGGGAUCUUUACCAUUCCUAGAUCUGAAAGUGAAGGGAGGGAGAAGUUACAGAACCCAGAAAGAGAGUUCUGCCUUGAGAAGGAGCAGUGACCUUUUAUCAAAAGACAAAACCAACCUCAGGCGUUGUGGGGCAGGGAGGGAACUGGGGGAAUAAGUACUUCAGCCUCACUCUCCCUCUGCCCUCCAAUCUUCGGCUGCUGCUUCCCAUUGGCUGUACCAAGAUGGAAACUAGAGGGCAAAGGAGUGAGUCGAUGAUGUAGUCCAUAUGGGUCAGCACCCCAGGGCAAAGAGCAGGAUGGAUGGAAAAGCGGAUCAGGAGGGGCAAAUGGAAAAUAUCUGGUACAGUAGGCUUCAUUUCCAUGUUGAAUAAAGACAUAUAAAUCUUAGUAUCUUAGUGAAACCUUUAGGAAUGGCUCUAUGGCAGUAGGUUCGCGGUUAUCGUUUGUUCAUUCUUCAGACCAACUGAACAUAUUAUAAAAAGUAUUGUGCUGGGCAUUUUGAGAGAAGCUCAGCAAUGGCAAAAGAAUCUCAGAAAUGCAAUGAGCUCUCCUUCCUGAGGCGUGUAUUUUUAAGAAUACAUCCUCACUCUAUCAAAACACUUGUUUAGAGCUCUGAAUAGUAAACAUGACCCCACAGGUCUCAAAAUUAGAUGCUGCUUCCCGAGAAGCAAGAGAGUUCAGUUCAGGCAAAGACCCAGGUUCUGAAUCCUGUGGCUGACAACUGGCAGUUAAUGUUUCUUGCCAUGUUGGUACCUUUUAGGUAGGAGCUGAACAGUCAUUUUUCAGGCAAGGGGACCAGACUAGGAUUUAUCAGUGCAUCUCUGGAAAUUGGACUUGCUCUUAUGAAUGGAGUCGAUUGUGGUCUCACAUUUUCUGAGUCUGUGAAAUCAUUCCCCUCUUUAACGAGGUCCUCUUGGAAGAGGAGGGAACGGGUCUCCUUUAGUGACAUGACUCUGACAAGCAAAUCAAUUCGUUCCAUUUGUUUCCUCUUUGCAAACAGCAAUCCUCGAGCGUUACAUAAUCUAAUCUUCAUGCCUCGCUGGUUUGUUCUGUCCUCCUGAGGAAUUGGCAGAUGGUGCCAGUGCGGAGACCCGCGCACACGCCUCGCAAGCCUCAUGGUAACAGGAGAGUUGCUCACAGUGUCUGUCUCUUUGCUGUGGGGUCCCUUGCUGGCAUUUGUUUCCCUGGAUCAGCUUGCUCUUUAGCAUUCCUCAGGCACCACUGGCUUUUUGCCUUGGGCUCUCAUUCCAAGAUUAAUUGGAAAUGCUGAAAGCAGAUAAAAAGAGAACAGAAAGUGAAGUUGAAAGGGCAGAGAAUUUGCCGGAUCUUUUCUAAAAGCCCUCCUCCAUUGAAGGUUGAGUGUCUUUGGAGAUUUUAG